rnacentral:rRNA from 1 species
UACGUAGGCAGCAAGCGUUGUUCGGAGUUACUGGGCGUAAAGGGUGCGUAGGCGGUUGUUUAAGUUUGGUGUGAAAUCUCCCGGCUCAACUGGGAGGGUGCGCCGAAUACUGAAUGACUAGAGUGCGGGAGAGGAUAGUGGAAUUCCUGGUGUAGCGGUGAAAUGCGUAGAUAUCAGGAGGAACACCGGUGGUGUAGACGGCUAUCUGGACCGUAAC